AUUGAACGCUGGCGGCAUGCCUUACACAUGCAAGUCGAACGGCAGCGGACCUUCGGGUGCCGGCGAGUGGCGAACGGGUGAGUAAAGUAUCGGAACGUACCUUUCAGUGGGGGAUAACGUAGCGAAAGUUACGCUAAUACCGCAUAUUCUCUGAGGAGGAAAGCAGGGGACCUUCGGGCCUUGCGCUGAUAGAUCGGCCGAUAUCAGAUUAGCUAGUUGGUGGGGUAAAGGCCUACCAAGGCGACGAUCUGUAGCGGGUCUGAGAGGAUGAUCCGCCACACUGGGACUGAGACACGGCCCAGACUCCUACGGGAGGCAGCAGUGGGGAAUUUUGGACAAUGGGCGAAAGCCUGAUCCAGCCAUGCCGCGUGAGUGAAGAAGGCCUUCGGGUUGUAAAGCUCUUUCGGCCGGGAAGAAAUCGUGUGGGCUAAUACCCUACAUGGAUGACGGUACCGGAAUAAGAAGCACCGGCUAACUACGUGCCAGCAGCCGCCGUAA
rnacentral:rRNA from 1 species